GGUCCUGGAGCGUCACGGGGGUAUCGACAUCCUGGUCUCCAAUGCGGCCGUGAACCCGUUCUUCGGCAGCACGCCUGAUGCCAGCGAGGACGUGUGGAACAAGGCUAGUUCCUCGACGUGAGCAACGCCAGCAGGCUGAAAGCGGAACGGUUUCUCUCAGCCAAACGCUUUCAGCACUCGGGAAAUUUCCAGGUGAGGACCGUUCCCCCCAGAACCGCAGCGUGAUACAGUAACAAUGGGACAGCAGACUCGUAGAACUUCCUGCACCAUUUUGCUACACGUCGUUCAACAGGACACUGAUACUCAGCAAAUUAUGAUUUUUCACAGGAUCCUGCAGGUGAAUGUGACAGCACUGGCACUGCUAAUCAGCCUGGUCGUGCCCCUCCGCGGAGAAACAGGCUUGAGUGUGGGGGGGGACGACGUGAGGGGGCAGCUGGUCUCUCGUCUCUGGCUCAUUCCCUCUCUCCGCUCAGGGGUGGCUCCAUCAUCCUCGUCUCCUCUAUCGCCGGGUUCUCCCCCUUCCCGGUGAGACGCCCCGGCCCUCCCACA